rnacentral:rRNA from 1 species
CAGCAGCCGCGGGAACACGAAGGGUGCAAGCGUUAAUCGGAAUUACUGGGCGUAAAGCGUGCGUAGGCGGUGAGUUAAGUCUGCUGUGAAAUCCCCGGGCUCAACCUGGGAAUGGCAGUGGAUACUGGCUCGCUAGAGUGUGUCAGAGGAUGGUGGAAUUCCCGGUGUAGCGGUGAAAUGCGUAGAGAUCGGAAGGAACAUCAGUGGCGAAGGCGGCCAUCUGGGACAACACUGACGCUGAGGCACGAAAGCGUGGGGAGCAAACAGGAUUAGAUACCCCGGUAGUCCCUGUCUCUUAUAC